AUUACUGAUACCGGGGAGCAGUUUCUUGCAGUAAGUCUUCUAAAGAGUGACAGCAAAGUUCUAAGAAAUAAACUCUGGAAGGAAUGAGAGGAACCUCUCAAAAAAUGUUAUUUUUCAUAACUUUAUGAUUCUAGUCUGCUGGGCACAAAACCAAGAAGCCUGACCAUGCAGAGAAAGUAAGUGUCUGAGAUCGCUGCUGUGAGGGUUGAUAGGGACCUGGGAUGCUGGCCCUUGACUGGUAUCUGAACAGCUUCACUCUCAAAGAUGGGAUCUGCUCCAGAAAGCCCUUGGUUUCUGUGGUCUCCCUGUAGACCAACAAAUCACCCUGUGUUAUCAACCUGCAGUGAGUGCAACUCAAGAAAUCCUCGUAUACAUGGAAAUAGGCAACACACUGCAGCCAAAACCAAGAUUUACUUUUUUUUUUAAGAUUUAUUUAUUUAUUUGAAAGGCAGAGUUGCAGAGAGGCAGAGGCAGAGGCAGAGAGAGAGAGAGAGAGAGAGAGAUCUUCCAUUCGCUGAUUUACUCCCCAAGUGGCUGCAAUGGCCAGAACUGGGCAGAUUGGAAACCAGGAGCCAGGAGCUUCUUUUGGGUCUCUCACGUGGGUGCAGGGGCCCAAGAACUUGGACAUCUUCCACUGCUUUCCCAGGCCAUAGCAGACAGCUGGAUCAAAAUGGAACAGCUGGGACUUGAACCGCUGCCUAUAUGGGAUGUUGGCAUUGCAGGCAGCAGCUUUACCCACAGAGCUGGCCCCAAGAUUUACUUUUAAAUCAAAAGAAAAAAUCCUCACUUGCAUCGCCAAAUGAUAAUGGUAAUGAAGUUGAGGGGUUGAGAUUUUUUUUUUUUUUUUGACAGUCAGAGUUACACAGUGAGAGAGAGAGAGAGACAGAGAGAAAGGUCUUCCUUCCGUUGGUUCACCCCCAAAUGGCCACUACGGCCAGCGCGCUGCUCCAAUCCGAAGCCAGAAGCCGGGUGCUUCCUCCUGGUCUCCAAGCAGGUGCAGGGCCCAAGCACUUGGGCCAUCCUCCACUGCACUCCCUGGCCACAGCAGAGAGCUGGACAGGAAGAGGAGCAACUGGGACAGAAUCUGGUGCCUCAACCAGGACUAGAACCCGGUGUGCCGGCGCCAUAGGGGGACGUUUAGCCAAGUGAGCCACGUCGCCGGCCGAGGGAUCAUGCCAGAAUACUCUAUCCAAAUGCCUAAUGAAGAUAAAUUUUAAAUGAACAUUAUCAUUGCUACUGCUACCAAGGGUAGUCUUUCUGACAUAAUCUCAAACCAAUCCAGUGGUACCUUAACAGAAGAGGUUACAUGAAGUCCCAAGAAGUUAAUCCUCACUCUGAAAGAGAUAAACAGCUACAGCUUUCCUGAACAGAGAUGGAAUUAGAACAUCUGUUUAACCUGCAAAUCUGUCACCUUUGCAUGGGUAAUUAUUUGUUUCCCUGCUUACUCGAGCUCAUCUUCACAAAUUAGCACUCUAAAUUAUUAUUAUGUGUUACCCUACAUAUUUUAUUAAAAUAUUUACAGAAAAAUUGAUAUAAAUUAAGAUUUCACAAACAAGUUGAUUAAGGAAUGACCAACAUUUCUCAAUAUUAUAACUAAAUUUUAUGUCAUUUACUGUGCAAUUAAUAGCCUCACCACAUUUCAACUUAGUUCCAGAUAUAUUUAAGUAGCUAAAUAUAAAAUGAUAAAAAGAUAAUACUGUAUUUUAAAAACUAAGAAAAUGAACACAAAUGCCUAUUAACUAAAAACAUCAUUCUGAGAAUAAAGUAAUAAAAUUAUCACAAAGAAACAAUUAUUGGAUUUUCACUAGAUGAUAAACAUAGUAUAGAUUUUAAAUAAAAAGCAGGAGGCAGGCAUUUAGCAUAGCAGUUUAGACACCAGUUAAGAGGCUUGUUGUGUAGGGGCUGGGCUUGUGGCUUAGCAGAGAAAGCUACCACCAGCAGUGCUGGCAUACCAUAUUUGCACUGGUUCCAGUCCCAGCUGCUCUACUUCUGAUCUAGCUCUCUGCUAAUGCACCUUGGAAAGCAGUGGAAGAUGGCCAAGUGCUUGGGCUCCUGCACCCACAUGGGAGAUCCAGAAGAAGCUACAGUCAUUUGAAGAGUGAAUCAGCAGAUGGAAUCUCUCUCUCUCUCUCUCUCUCCCUUUCUCUCUCAGAUAAAAUAAAUAAGUCUUUAAAAAAAUAAAGAAUGAUGCAUGUAGGACACCAGGGUUUGGUUUCUGGCUCUAGCUCUUAAUUCCAGCUUCCCACCAAUUACUGGCAGAGUGAUUGGGAAAACUGCAGCCCACAUAAGAGAUACAGCUACCGCUCAGCCCUCGCUGUUGCAGGCAUUUGGAGGUGAACCAGUGAAUGGGAGGUCUCUGUCUCUUUGCCUCUCAAAUAAACAUAAAAAUUUUAAAAAAUAAAAUAUUAGGAUAGGCAUAUGGCAGAGCACGUUAAGCUAUUGCUUGGGAUUCAUAAAUCCUACAUUGCAGUGCUGUCCAAGUCCUGGGUAGUCCACCGUGAUCCAAUGACCUCCGAACGCACCUGGUAAGAAGCCAAAUCCUCAAGAACUUGGAUCACUGCUACACGUGUGGGAGACCCAGAUGGAGUUCCAGGCUCCUGGCCUUAGCUGUUGUGGCAUUUGGGGAAUGAGCCAGCAGGUGGAAGACACCUCUCUCUCUCUCUCUCUCUCUCUCUCUCACUCCUUCUUCCUCUGUCUGCAUCUUUGUGUCAUUCUGCCUUUCAAAUAAAUAAAUAAAUCUUGAAUAUAGUAUGAAGAUCCUUCAGAAAUCUGAAAAUAGAUCUUCCAUAUGACCCAGCUGUUCCACUCCUGGGAAUUUAGCUAAGGAAAUUAAAUGACAUGAAAGGGUUAUGUGUACCUCUAUGUUUAUAGCAGCCCAAUUCACAAAGGUUAAGAUAUGGAAUCAACCAAGAUGUCCAUCAAUGAAUGACUGGAUAAAGAAAUUGUGGUAUAUACACAUGAUGGAAUACUACUCAGCCAUAAAAAAGAAUGAAAUCCUGUCUUUCAUAACAAAAUGGAUGCAACUGGAGACAAUUAUGUUUAAUGAAAUAAGACAGUCCCAAAAAGAUAAAUACAUGUUUGCACUGAGUUCUGGUAACUACAGAGUGCAAAAUACGCCAUGUAUAUGAGUGAAAUUGACAUUUUGAGAUUUGAUUAUUGUCCACAGCCCUUGUCUAUACUCCCGAAAAACAGUGUUUUUCCUACUUACUUUGUUAAAUUCUUUAUUUUGUGGAGGAUUAAGCUUGUGAUUAUAAAAUAAAUUAAAAGUAUGCCAUUGAAAAAAUUAAAAGAGAAAUAAGACAGGAAGGAGAAGUGAGGCUGGGAGGGAGGCUGGGAGAGAAGAAUGGUAGAGUGGGAAGUAUCAUUAUGUUCUUCAAAGUGUAUAUAUGAAAUACAUGAAAUUUCUUCCCUGCAUACAAAUAAAAAAGAUACAAUAAAACAAAACAAAUCUUUAAAAAUGUCAAACGUAAAUAAAGAUAAAGCAAAAUGUGAUAAAAUAUUUGCACAAAAUUCCUUGUGUUAAUGUACUUCAUAUAUUAAGAUAUCCAACACAUUCAUUAGGAAAUUCAGCAAAAUAGAUAGUUAAGAUGUUCUUAAAAAAACAGAGGUUUAAACUGCUUAACAGUGACUGGUGUCUUAUUUAUAAUAGUGAAAAGUUGGAAAUAACUAUUUCCCUUAGAUUGCAUAUUCACAAUAGUGUGCAGAUUCUGAUACAUUCAUAACUGACAUAGAUAAGAUGGAGACCAGAACUUAUAUGUUUAAAUCCUCUCUUUCCCCAUAGCUAUUUAUAAGAGUAAAGAAAUAGGAAAGGACUACAUGACAUUGACAAGCAAUAGGGCAAGAAGCUAAGAUUUUGACAGAUUUCUCUAAAGCAGAAGGAAUGGAGGAUCAUACUGACAAGUACAUCCUGUUAGUGCAAACCAUGACUGCAGAGCAGCCGUCGAAGAUGUCAACAGGUGAGGGCUGCUCAUUAGAAAUAGAUCCGGUCCUCUAACCCCCUCUGCCAGUGAAGCAGUGCACAGAAAUAGGAUAAGAAUGAGGCAACCGGCUUGUGAAGUGGAUAGAACUGUGACCAAGCCAUUCUCCCUGUAGAGCAGUGAGCCCUGCCCCUGUCUGAGAAGGUGGCUUUGAGACCAGGGAGAGAGGCAAAACCACUGAUACUAACUCAUGCUUACCCAUUGGAGAAAACAGAAUCAUAGCCAUGCUUCAGCAUUUGUACAGAAGUAAAAUCCCGGUCAAUUAAAGACGGGUGGAGACUAAAACUUUCUGAAAAUAGACAAACAUCUUUACGACUAUCAAAAAGGACACAAAUCGCACACAGGAUAAAAGUUACUAAAUUGGAUUAAGAUUAAGGAAAACCACUGGAGCAUCACAAGAAAUCAGUGUUUUGUUGUUGUUGUUGUUGUUUUUAAGCUGGCAGGGGGAGAAGUCAGACAUUGAGAGAAGAGGGUUACUAGCCAUAAAAUGAAAGGUUAGCCAUGCAUACUAUCUAAAAUGCUUCCACAAGUCACCACAUCAAAGACAAAGAAUGGAAGAGAACAAUGGGUAAGUGAUACAAUUAAGCAAUUCAGGGAGGAAACAUUCAAAUGGCCCAUGAACAAACACAGGCACACUAUGUCAUGAUCUGGAAAACACAAGUUCAAACAAAAUCAGGAAAGUUGAGUCUUUCAAAGUCACUGAAAUGAAUGCAAUUUGGUUCAUAUUUGUUUAGGACUAUUUACUCAACUUUUUAUUGAGUAUUUUUACUGCUGCUUAUGUUUUUCACUUUAUCCUCUAUUGUGUCUAUGCAAAGUGGAUCCAUUUGACCUUAAAGCUAGGGACAUUUUCUUUCAAACAAUAUUAAAUUACUCACAUUAUUAAAUUAUAUCUUCUCUAUGCUUUGAUCACACUACUUAAUUCCACGAGGAAUAAUAUUCCUGUAAUCCUCAUAUUUGAAAUGUUCUUCAUGCAUUUUCAGUUUCUCAAAUAUGUUGUUAGGUUUCCUUGUAAUUGCAGAAUAGCAAGUAAAUCCUGCAAACCCGAUGAUAUAAGACAAAUUGUAGGUUUCAUAUGGUAAAACACAGGCGGUAAAUGUAGGAUGUAUUGCAGUCUUCAUUUUACAGAUGAGUAGUGAGGAAAUGCAAUGUUAAAUUGAUGGAUACACCACUCACUGUAACUUCACCUACUGUAGGAAUUAAAACCUAGAAUCCCAAUCAUUUAACAAAACAGCUCCUUCUAGCUUGAUCACUCACAGCAAAAUCAGUUAUUUAGCAGGUUUCUUUUAAGAUGUGAGUUGGGGAACCUAUGUCCUUCAAAUGUAAGGAUCCAUCAUCUCUUAAUAUUUUAACCCCAAGUUUAGAAUAGGAUAGAAACCACAGACAUCUAAGCAAGUGUCCUUGGGCAUUCUAUGGGCUGAGUGUGAGCAUGGCAUAUAUUUGUACAAUAUUUCACUCGCCUCUUAGUCACACAGCAAAGGAGGUUAAGAAAUGCAGUCCAGUUGCAUUUAAUCAAGUUGGUAAAUAAUGAGCUCAUUUCCUUCUAAAUGAAUAAAGAAGCAGUUAUUAAAAUGAUAACAGCAAUGAAAAUCUAGAUAUAAUACAAGAAAAUUGAUAAGAAAAAGAGAACAGAGGAAUUGAACAGUGCAAUGCUUUGUUUUCCUCUGGAUACCUAGUAGCUAGUUUUGCUAGGAAGUUAAGCCAAUGUACAAGAUUAGAGUCUCAGGCUGGGAAAAGAGACAAACCAACAAAUCAUUUACAUUUAACCAUCUACAUUAUGGAUUAUUGUGCACCUCCCUCAAGAGAUAGGCCCUUAAGUCCUCAGUGAGGACCUGUCCAAAUAGGUGCAGGACUAUCUGAGUUAGCUGUUACUAAAAGCCCUGUUUUUAGGAACUGGCAGGGAGGGCUUUUUAAGCUUAAUGCUAUUGGAUAGACUUUUAAGGCCUGGCUGGGUGUGUGAGGCCCAGACCUAUCCAUGGGGUGCUGGAAGAGAAUUGCAAGAGAUGCAAAUCUCCUUUAAGGGAGGCACCCUGUUGACUUGUAUUACAUGGCUGGACUAGGAGGAGAGCUGAAUAGGAGGCUGAUAGAAUUAGGCAACUUACAUUUCACUGACCCUAGGCCAUCCCCUCAACAGCAGUGGCUGGAGCUGGAAGCUGGGCAGAGCCAAAGGCUUUUUAGCUUGGGGCCACAAAGUCUGUGGUUCUGAACCAGGAGUCCUUCGACACCCAGGGCAGUUCCGUGUCCAGUGGCUGUGCUCUUGGCAGAGCUGACAGAAGGCAGUUUCUGUCAUGACAGCUGCUUGCCCAAUGCCCUGGCUCCUUAUAUCAGCAACAGGUGCUGUUUGGGGUGCACUGGCCUUGCUGGGUCUCCUUGACAGCAGAUCACCGUGUAAAGCAGCCAUUGAUUGGCCUGUUGCCUAUCCCUACAUCGCUCCUGCUACUAGCUUGCUCCUCAUUCUCCUGGUCUCUGAUAAAGUAGAACAUGGAGGCAGCCUCUAUGAUGCCAGUCAAGGGGGUGCUCAACCCAACCCUGAUUUUUGAAGAUUUUUUUUCUUUAAUAUCAGGGUGAGACCAUAGAAAACUAUGGUCAUGGGCAAAUUCUGACACUUAGUAUUUUCCUGCGAGUUAAAACCGUGCCCAUGAGGAGAACUAUGACCUUUUAGGUAAGAUCAACUGUGGUGACCUGCUUUUGUAUACUUUGAGGUCAUCAGUGCAAUUUCCUAUCUAUCCCUCAGUUUGGUUAAAAAGGGAAGUUCUGCCCAUUUACCGCGUACACUGAAAAAUCGAUCUAGCUGUCACAUUUUAACCUCUCAUUCUGGCUGUGCUGUUUGGUCCUCUGUACUGUGGCCAGGCAUUAUUACAGAAAAGGUCAGUCAUCCCUUACAUAAGGUCUGGGGAUCAAACCGUACGUCACAGUGGAGAGUCCUGCAGAACGGUAGUAACUUCCCUUCUGGAAGAGAAAAGAGGAGACGUGAGGCAGCGAGUCGGGUCUCUAGCCUGACUUCCUGGGCUUUCAGAUUUAACUGGCGUUUGACCAGUGCUUACUGCGUGGCCUGACUUAGAGGAGAAGUUAUGGCAGAGGUCUCUGCCAUCCUUUGGCUUCCGGAUAUUUACCGUGUAGCCAGUGGGUUAUGGGCCUGGGUUUCCGGGUUUAACUAGUAUUACCGUGUAACCCAUAAGUUUAGGUUUUGGGGCUCCCGGGCUUUCACCGUGGAUACUAGAGCUUUCUUGGGCUCCUGGAACCCAGUUCUCUACCAUCUGCCGCAUAACCAUCUUCCGUCGUCUCUAAGUCUCUUUUGGAACACUUUCUCCCUUUUGGCUAGACCUCCCGUUUGAUCCACAUUUGAACUAGCAUUACCUGGUUAUUCAGCGUUAGCUGGACGGAGACUAUGUCAGUCCCUCUUUAAAGGAUCUGGCUUCUGAGCCAGAGACUGGAGCAGCUAGAAAGAAACACGUUUAUAACUGAAGUUUA